AGAGUUUGAUCCUGGCUCAGGAUGAACGCUAGCGGCAGGCUUAACACAUGCAAGUCGAGGGGUAGGGGAAGCUUGCUUUCCUGAGACCGGCGCACGGGUGCGUAACGCGUAUGCAAUCUACCUUUCACAGAGGGAUAGCCCAGAGAAAUUUGGAUUAAUACCUUAUAGUAUUAUAGGAUGGCAUCAUUUUAUAAUUAAAGAUUUAUCGGUGAAAGAUGAGCAUGCGUCCCAUUAGCUAGUUGGUAUGGUAACGGCAUACCAAGGCUACGAUGGGUAGGGGUCCUGAGAGGGAGAUCCCCCACACUGGUACUGAGACACGGACCAGACUCCUACGGGAGGCAGCAGUGAGGAAUAUUGGACAAUGGGCGCAAGCGACAUCCAGCCAUGCCGCGUGCAGGAUGACGGUCCUAUGGAUUGAUUUCUGCAAUUAUACAGGAAGAAACCCCUCUACGUGUAGAGGCUUGACGGUACUGUAAGAAUAAGGAUCGGCUAACUCCGUGCCAGGAGCCGCGGUAUUACGGAGGAUCCAAGCGUUAUCCGGAAUCAUUGGGUUUAAAGGGUCCGUAGGCGGUCAAGUAAGUCAGUGGUGAAAGCCCAUCGCUCAACGGUGGAACGGCCAUUGAUACUGCUUGACUUGAAUUAUUAGGAAGUAACUAGAAUAUGUAGUGUAGCGGUGAAAUGCUUAGAGAUUACAUGGAAUACCAAUUGCGAAGGCAGGUUACUACUAAUUAAUUGACGCUGAGGGACGAAAGCGUGGGUAGCGAACAGGAUUAGAUACCCUGGUAGUCCACGCCGUAAACGAUGGAUACUAGCUGUUGGGCGCAAGUUCAGUGGCUAAGCGAAAGUGAUAAGUAUCCCACCUGGGGAGUACGAACGCAAGUUUGAAACUCAAAGGAAUUGACGG
rnacentral:rRNA from 1 species